GACGAACGCUGGCGGCGUGCCUAACACAUGCAAGUCGAACGGAGUAAUUUCUUCGGAGAUUACUUAGUGGCGAACGGGUGAGUAACGCGUGAGAAACCUGCCUUUCAGUGGGGGACAACAGUUGGAAACGACUGCUAAUACCGCAUAAUGUUAUUUGGGGGCAUCCCCGAAUAACCAAAGCUUUAUGUGCUGAAAGAUGGUCUCGCGUCUGAUUAGAUAGUUGGUGAGGUAACGGCCCACCAAGUCGACGAUCGGUAGCCGGACUGAGAGGUUGAACGGCCACAUUGGGACUGAGACACGGCCCAGACUCCUACGGGAGGCAGCAGUGAGGGAUAUUGGGCAAUGGGGGAAACCCUGACCCAGCAACGCCGCGUGAAGGAAGAAGGCUUCGGUUGUAAACUUCUUUAGUCAGGGACGAAGGACGUGACGGUACCUGCAGAAAAGACAACGGCUAACUACGUG
rnacentral:rRNA from 1 species